rnacentral:pre_miRNA from 1 species
UUAACUCAAAUUGGUAUGGAAUAUACGUUUGCCUACGUUUGCCGCUAGGGGCGCUGUUCCAACUGCAUGCAAAUUUUAGUUA